CUUCUAAAGAUGCAACCCCCUUAUGAACAGUAACUCCCCCUUAUGAAUAGUGUGCUGACGACUUUACCCCUGCCUGUCUCAAGUAAAUCUCAAUUGCCCCGGAGUGUUGUGCUGUCUCUUUCUGGCCAUCUGCCGUGUUGUUCUGUUGCCACGAAGAGAGAGGGUUCGAUCAGUAGCGUAAAAGAGAGAGGUACAGUAUCGAUUUGAUCCAAAGAGACAUAAAAAGAGAGAGAUAGAGAGAGGGCGAGGAGUUUGCAUGACCGGCGAUUUCAGCUGUUUUGGCGCGGAGAUUUUGGUUGUCGUUUGCUGACGAGUUGUUUACUAUUUGGUUGGAGCGCAAGAAUUCUUUAGCUGGUAAUUUUUUUCUUUGUCAAUAAUGUUUGUGUUGAUUUGUUGGUUUGAUUGCAGUCUGAAGUAAUUCCCUCUGAUGUUCUUAAUUUGCUGAAAAGAAAAAGUAGGAUUGUUUGAGGUUCAAUCUUCUCAGGAGUAUUUGGUUGGGAACAAACAAAGAAAGGAAGUAGGAUCAAUAUUCCGGAACCUCUCCUUCUGGAAAAAUAGGUCCAAUGAUGGCUGGAAUUUAAGGUCCACCUGACCCGAUCCCAACAUCAAGUAGAUCUUGGUAAGAAUUUUUCAAUUUUCUACCUACAGGACAUCUCAAUGUGCAUGCAUCCCUAAAUUACAGUGUUAACCUAUCUUAAGUUUAUGGAAUGUUUACUCAUCAUUUAAGUCAUCAACUGUGAAAAAGGCUAGCACUAGGCGCUACCAAAGGUUUUUUUUUUUUUUUUUUUGCAAA